rnacentral:rRNA from 1 species
AUACGGAAGGUCCGGGCGUUAUCCGGAUUUAUUGGGUUUAAAGGGAGCGCAGGCGGAGAUGCAAGCGUGACGUCAAAUUUCGGGGCUCAACCCCGUCUCGCGUCGCGAACUGCGUCCCUUGGUUGCGGGAAGGGGAGGCGGAACUCGGGGUGUAGCGGUGAAAUGCAUAGAUAUCACGAAGAACUCCGAUCGCGAAGGCAGCCUUCCGGCCCGUCAACGACGCUCAUGCUCGAAGGUGCGGGUAUCAAACAGGAUUAGAUACCCUGGUAGUCCGCACAGUAAACGAUGGACACCCGCGGUUUGGCCUAUAUGGCUGAGCCGCCAAGCGAAAGCGUUAAGUGUCCCACCUGGGGAGUACGCCGGCAACGGUGAAACUUAAAGGAAUUGACGGGG